GCAGCCUCCUCUCUCCGCCUCCGCUCGGCGAGGUUUCCCGGCUUCCUAAAGUGUCGCUUGAGAACCUGAAGUGUAGGUCUGACGGGGUUUUUACCUUCAAAAUAAUCUUUACCUCAGCUUGAAAGGGUCUGGAAUGAUGCUGUGGCCGAAUCCUCAGCCGUUUCUCCCCCUUUGCGAUGGAGUGGGACUGAGUCAGGUAAGCAGAAGGAUUCCUGGGAGAGGAGGACUGGGCCUGCCGGGGUGCCUUUGGUUCCAGGAUUAAUGGCCAAAUAUCUGUUGAAACUGACAAGAUGGAAUGCGUUUCCUUAGAAGUGAAAUACUGAAGGCACAAUUACAAGGAGGGGAAAAAAUGAAGAGAAAACUAAAGAAACCAGAAUGGAUGUUCAAAGAACUUUCAAUGGAGCUAAGAUUUAAAAGGGACAUGUACAUGAAAUGGAAAGGGGAGGAUCACCAAAGAAUGUAAACGACUAAACAGCAUAAGCAUAAGUAGCAGAUCAUGAAGAAGGCCAUCUGGAAUCACUUAGAAAAAAUGCUGUAAUCACUGAAGGGCAAGAUGGGUUUCUCCAAAACAAGUCAUGCCAGACUAAUCUGUUUUUCAGUAGAGUUCCAAGCUUGGUAGAUGAAGGAAAUGCAGUGGGUGUAGCACAUCUUGCUUUCAGUAAGACCUUUGUAAAGGCCUCUCCUGGUUUUAUAAACAACUAGUAAAAAGUGGGCUGGAUAAUACUCCUGUUCAGUGGAUUUGUAAUGGUUUGAGUGACAACGGGUGGAGUGGGCCCAGUACUGCUCAACAUGCAUAUCUUAUUUUCAGAUGACAAAAAAUUAGCAAGCAUAGCUGACAGUCUAGAAGAUAGGAUCACAAUUCAAAAUGGCCUGAACAUGUUAGAGAGCUGGGCCAAAACUAACCCACUUAAUGUCAACAAGAAUAUAUGUAGAGUAGUACACUUAGGCAGGAGAAAAAUGCCAUGCACAGGAACAGGAGGGGCAACACCUGACUUGACAAUCAUUCAUAUGAUGGGAUCUUGGAGUGUUAGAGGACUGCAAGUGGAACAUGAGCCAACAAUGUGAUGCAGCAGCUGAAAAGACAAUGGGAUUUUGGGCUGCAUCCCAAGGAAUAUUGUGUCUAGAUUCAGGGAAGUCAUGGCGACCUUCUUUCUGCUUUGGGGAGACCUCACCUGAAAUUACACUGUGUCCAGUUGUGGGCAUCACAAUAAAAGGGGGAACAUA